rnacentral:sRNA from 1 species
UUCCGUAGCCCUCCUUGGGCGUUUCCUCCCAAACUUCCCCGGCGCUCCGGCGCCGGGGCUCUUUUCGCAAGCG